GGUUCCUGGAAAGCCUCCAUUGUUGGAGGACGAGAAGCCGUAUCCAAUUGAAGCAGCACAGGCUUCUGCGAUGACUGUGGAAACCACUGCUUAUGCCUUGCUUCAAGCGUUGUCAAGGAAUGAUAUUGACUAUGCAACACCGAUUGCGAGGUGGCCAACGAUGCAACAGAACUAUGGUGGUGGAUUUCACUCGAUGCAGGACACAAUCAUUGCCUUGGAAGCUUCAUCAUGAUACGACAUUGCAUUUCUGAAGAGGGAAGAAGAAAUCAACAUGCAAAUUCAAUUCCAUGGUUUUGGACGUCCCAUUGAGAACACGAUUCAUGUGCGCCAGCAUAAUGCUCUGACCGAGAAAGAAUUGAAGUUUCCACUUGGAAGAAAGAUUCACAUCAAAUUGACUGGUCAAGGAACUGGGACACUGACUAGAAGGAGCGGGAGCAUCAGAGGAAGUGACGAGGACCAGAGGGGCAGCCGGGAAGGAAAGCAGUGAGUAUAAAUACUCACCCUUCGACGCCAACGGCCUUUUUGAGUGCGAGCAGCAGCGGAGGCAAGACGGACCCGGAAGUCUGCAGCUAAGGUAAAGCAGUUUAUUUUUAAAAUUACUUACCGGUAGCGGGCAGCGGUGUUUUUUUUUCCUCUUUCAGAGAAGGAGCGGGAGCAUCAGAGGAAGUGACGAGGACCAGAGGGGCAGCCGGGAAGGAAAGCAGUGAGUAUAAAUACUCACCCUUCGCCGCCAACGGCCUUUUUGAGUGCGAGCAGCAGCGGAGGCAAGACGGACCCGGAAGACUGCAGCUAAGUUGGUCGAGUGGAUCACAGAAAGUCUGGCAACAAAAAAGCUGCAAUGGUUACCUCGUCACUGCUUCCAACUCCUCCUCUUUCUCAGCUGGUGCCCGAUCACUGGCAGCGACAGCGUACCCUCAUGAUGCCAAGGUUGGAGACUAUCAAGAAUGAUGACGACACCGGCCCUUCUCUGUACUGCAGGACUGCCCCAGAGUGCUCCAGGCAGCAGAAACAACAUUGAACUACUCCAGUGGUCUGCACCAUUACAUUUCCUGUGGUACUUUAUGCAGCCCCUCUGAGUGUGUAAUACACACUCCCAUAUGGACCACGUCAUCAAACAAAGGCUCUUGUCACCUCCUCAUUACUUCAAGUUGUUCAAAUGAGGAUGGCAGGGCAGAAUAUUGAAGAAUUAUUACAAAGUCUUCUGUUCAGUAUCCUGCUGCUCUCUGACAAGGAAAACUGAAAUGUACUUGAUUUUCAUGUAAUUUUGAUUCCCAUUACAGGUCCUUUAUGGGAACAGGAAAAAUGACAAGCUGGAAAAUUUUGCAAGUAAUCUUUGGGCCAGCCUGGAAUCUUCCCAUCCUCUGGCCAUGACCUUGUGACCCUGCUUGGAGGUUGUACUUACAGUUUCAGAAGUGAUCAAUUCCAGUGAGGAUGUCUGUACUCAGGUGAAAGCUCACGCACAGUUCUUCACGACGGGAAAAAUGGCUCCAUUCAGACUCUGGAGAUUCAGGUAUCCCACUGAGAAUCGUUGUCUCCUUCAUCAUUCACCUUAUUCCAGUCACCUGUCCUGCUCUGUGUGAUUUCUGUCCAUUCUCUCAGUCAUGCUUGUCUGAGGGGAUAGCCACUACUGUAGCCCUGUUGUUGACUUGUGCAGUAUCCUCACAGUCAGGGAAUGCUUCCCCAUUCCUGAGAGAUUUCAGUGGGCUUAAACAGCUCUGAAAACCACGAAACACUUUUACAAGAGUCAGCGGAAAUCCACUUGCAUCUAACCUGUAAGUAGUUGGUGAUAUCUCUAUCCUCACUGCACUGGAUUAAGAGAGGAUUGUAACUGGAAUACUGAGGUCAAAACAUAUACCAUUAGCAUCCAAGCAGCAUUACGCAUACUUCCAUCAGAAUGUGAAUCAGAUGACAGGGAUUAUACCUAGCACUUGGAGAACUGACAGAAACCCCAGGUUACCUUGUCAGGAAAGUUCCAGUGAAUGAAGUGCCAACCGAGCACUUACCAUUCGGGGGCAGUCUGUGGCUAAAACCCCACUCACUGAGAGAUGCUGGCCAAACAGAGACUAGUGCCUCGCCAUUGCAGGUGGUGCCACCAGGAAGGGUGGCUGAUGCUGGUACUGCAAUUAAUCCAAUGCUAUUAGUGAGUCAUGAACAAAUUGGGGUCGUGGGAGAGGUUUUCUGGCCAGGGAAUCAGGAGGUUGUAAGACAAGGUAGUCAGGUGCUAUCUGUUUGCCAUCGCUACUAAUAUGGCAUGGCGGAUCAAUGGUUAGCACUGCUGCCUCACAGCUCCAGGGACCCAGGUUCAAUUCCAACCUCAGGUGACUGUCUGUCUGUGUGGAGUUUGCACAUUCUGUAUAUGUCUGCAUGGGUUUCCUCUGGGUGCUCCAGUUUCCUCCCACAGUCCAAAGAUGUGCAGGUUAGAUGGCUUGGCCAUGCUAAGUUGCUAAGAGUGUCCAGGUAUGUGUGGGUUAGGUGGGUUAUAGUGGAAUGGGUGUGGGUGGAAUGCUGCAAAGGUCAAUGUUGGGUCAAAGGGUCUGAUUGUACACUGUAGGGAUUCUAUAAUUAAGAGUUUUACUUCUCAAACUUUCUGUGUGAUAUUUGUUCAGCCUAAGUUAUUAAUUGCCCACUCAGGGGCGUAAAGACCAUUUACCAGCCUUCCCAAUCGAGACUGCAUCAGGGUAAAACUUGAAAGACAGUCAGGUCCGUACUUACACUCUCCAGCUCAAACCCCGCAUAAAGAGAGGGGUGUUAAAUUCUACCCGUCAUGUACAAAAUCCAGCACCUACGUGAUUGCCUGCAAAAAUGCCAUCCAUCACUGCCCACAACAGAAGAGUGAACCUGGCAGAAACGCAGAAUUGCUACAACGCACAAGGAAGACAUUCAGCCCAUCAUACUUGCCAAGCUCUCUGAGCACUCUAAUUUAAGGCCAAUCUUCUACCUUUUUCCAAAAACCCUGCAUGUAUUUUUUUUUCUGUUUAAGUAACCAUCCCUCUUGCGUGCCUUCGCUGAAUCUGCCACCACCACAUUUCCGGGCAGUGGAUUCCAGGCCCAGAUCACUC